GCCAGAAGCCUUGUCCCCGCACACACUGCAGACCUCGUUCCCCAGCAUCUUGGGAGCCGGCCCCUUUUUCCUCUUCAGUGGCCUCCGCUCUGUAGGAAGGUCAGACCCUCAUCUCCUCUAGCCUGGACUACUGGAACAAUGGCCUGCUUGGACUUUCUCCCUCUGAUCUAUCGGUCACCCAGUUAUCAAACUGAUAUUCCUCGCCUGCAGGUCUUAACCACAUCUCUGUCUGUCUCCUGCUGAAGAAACUCGCAAGUGCCUCCAGAAUAAAACCGAAAAACCUUCCUCUAGCAACGUGUUCCUUAAGGACAGAGACUGUUUUUGCUUUUGUCUUCAUAUUCCUGGAGAUAAAUGCAGAGCCUGAUACAUAAUUUUUAAUAAACGUUUGUUUAAGGGGAGGGGAAA